AGAGUUUGAUCCUGGCUCAGGGUUAACGCUGGCGGCGCGCAUAACACAUGCAAGUCGAGCGAGGGCUCUUCUCCCGCAAGGGAGGGGAGUUCCUAGCGGCGAACGGGUGAGUAACACGUGGGCAACCUUUCCUAUCGCGGGGGAUAACAGCGGGAAACCGCUGCUAAUACCGCAUGUCGUCAUCGGUCGCAUGGCCGGUGAAAAAAGCAGCAAUGCACGAUGGGGUGGGCCCGCGGCCUAUCAGCUAGUCGGUGGGGUAACGGCCUACCGAGGCGAUGACGGGUAGCUGGUCUGAGAGGACGACCAGCCACACGGGGACUGAGACACGGCCCCGACUCCUACGGGAGGCAGCAGUGAGGAAUCUUCCGCAAUGGGCGAAAGCCUGACGGAGCGACGCCGCGUGUGGGAUGAAGUCCUUCGGGAUGUAAACCACUGUUGGAGGGGAAGACUUCGACGGUACCCUCCGAGAAAGCCCCGGCUAACUACGUGCCAGCAGCCGCGGUAAUACGUAGGGGGCUAGCGUUAUCCAGAUUUACUGGGCGUAAAGCGC
rnacentral:rRNA from 1 species